CCACCCUGAACAGACUGAUCUUGUCUGAUUUCAGAAGCUAAGCAGGAUCUGGCCUGGUCAAUACUUGGAUGGGUCACUACUACAGAGAAUCCCAGG
rnacentral:rRNA from 1 species